CAGCAGCCGCGGGAAUACGUAGGGGGCAAGCGUUAUCCGGAAUUACUGGGUGUAAAGGGAGCGUAGACGGUUAAACAAGUCUGAAGUGAAAUGCCGGGGCUCAACCCCGGAGCUGCUUUGGGAACUGUAGAACUGGAGUGUCGGAGGGGUAAGCGGAAUUCCCAGUGUAGCGGUGAAAUGCGUAGAUAUUGGGAGGAACACCGGCGGCGAAGGCGGCUUACUGGACGACAACUGACGUUGAGGCUCGAAGGCGUGGGUAGCAAACAGGAUUAGAGACCCCCGUAGUCCCUGUCUCUUAUAC
rnacentral:rRNA from 1 species